rnacentral:rRNA from 1 species
AGAGUUUGAUCCUGGCUCAGGACGAACGCUGGCGGCGUGCCUAAUACAUGCAAGUCGAACGCUUCUUUCCUCCCGAGUGCUUGCACUCAAUUGGAAAGAGGAGUGGCGGACGGGUGAGUAACACGUGGGUAACCUACCCAUCAGAGGGGGAUAACACUUGGAAACAGGUGCUAAUACCGCAUAACAGUUUAUGCCGCAUGGCAUAAGAGUGAAAGGCGCUUUCGGGUGUCGCUGAUGGAUGGACCCGCGGUGCAUUAGCUAGUUGGUGAGGUAACGGCUCACCAAGGCCACGAUGCAUAGCCGACCUGAGAGGGUGAUCGGCCACACUGGGACUGAGACACGGCCCAGACUCCUACGGGAGGCAGCAGUAGGGAAUCUUCGGCAAUGGACGAAAGUCUGACCGAGCAACGCCGCGUGAGUGAAGAAGGUUUUCGGAUCGUAAAACUCUGUUGUUAGAGAAGAACAAGGACGUUAGUAACUGAACGUCCCCUGACGGUAUCUAACCAGAAAGCCACGGCUAACUACGUGCCAGCAGCCGCGGUAAUACGUAGGUGGCAAGCGUUGUCCGGAUUUAUUGGGCGUAAAGCGAGCGCAGGCGGUUUCUUAAGUCUGAUGUGAAAGCCCCCGGCUCAACCGGGGAGGGUCAUUGGAAACUGGGAGACUUGAGUGCAGAAGAGGAGAGUGAAUUCCAUGUGUAGCGGUGAAGUGCGUAGAUAUAUGGAGGAACACCAUUGUCGAAAGCGGCUCUCUGGUCUGUAACUGACGCUGACGCUCGAAAGCGUGGGGAGCAAACAGGAU